UACAGAGGUCUCAAGCGUUGUCCGGAUUUACUGGGCGUAAAGAGCGCGCAGGCGGCUGGUCAAGUCCGAUGUGAAAGCUCCCGGCUUAACUGGGAAAUUGCAUCGGAAACUGAUCGGCUGGAAGGUGGGAGAGGGUAGCGGAAUUCCCGGUGUAGUGGUGAAAUGCGUAGAUAUCGGGAGGAACACCAGUGGCGAAAGCGGCUACCUGGCCCAUUCUUGACGCUGAGGCGCGAAAGCUAGGGGAGCAAACGGG
rnacentral:rRNA from 1 species